AAUUUUGGACAAUGGGCGCAAGCCUGAUCCAGCCAUGCCGCGCGAGUGAAGAAGCCCUUCGGGUUGUAAAGCUCUUUCGGACGGAAAGAAAUCGCGCAGGCUAAUCCCCUCUGCGGAUGACGGUACCGUCGUAUGAAGCACCGGCUAACUACGUGCUUGCAGCCGCGGUAAUACGUAGGGUGCAAGCGUUCAUCGGAAUUACUGGGCGUAAAGCGUGUGCAGGCGGUUGAUUAAGACAGGCGUAGAAUCCCCGGGCUUAACCUGGGAACUGCGCUUGUGACUGGUCAGCUAGAGUACGGCAGAGGGGGGUGGAAUUCCACGUGUAGCAGUGAAAUGCGUAGAGAUGUGGAGGAACACCGAUGGCGAAGGCAGCCCCCUGGGCCGAUACUGACGCUCAUGCACGAAAGCGUGGGUAGCAAACAGG
rnacentral:rRNA from 1 species